CAUUGAAACACCGGUCCCCUGUACGAUCACCGGAGUUAAGCAACGUCGAACUUGGCCAGUACCAACGUGGGUGACCGCUUGGGAAUACCACGUACUGUU